rnacentral:piRNA from 1 species
UGGUGCUGAAAGUUAUAAACACCCGC